rnacentral:rRNA from 1 species
UACGGAGGGUGCAAGCGUUUGUCCGGAAUCACUGGGCGUAAAGGGCGCGUAGGCGGCUCAUGAAGGCUGUGGUGAAAGUCCGGGGCUCAACCUCGGAUCGGCCGUGGCGACUCGUGGGCUGGAGCACUGUAGAGGCGGGUGGAAUUCCGGGUGGAGUGGUGAAAUGCGUAGAGAUCCGGAGGAACACCAAAGGCGAAGGCAGUGUCCUGGGGAGUACCUGACGCUCAGGUGACGAAGCCAGGGGAGCGAACGGG